ensembl:lncRNA
GAUUAUUUAGGGAUUCACAAGCAGCCAGUUGAGCCUGCGCUGCUCUUGUGUACUGUGUGCUGCUGCAUUAGGCUUAGAGCCACAAAGCAGACAGAUGGCUGAGGAGAGCCAGGGGGAUCUCAUUACACGGUCUUAAUAAGGCGCUCCAGAGACGAGCAGGUAGAGACCAAGCCUGAGUGACCCACCUUUUCCUGCUUGUACUUCUUACAUCCGUUUGAGGAAAUCUAGAAUGUCUGGAACAAUUUCUGAAUGAUCAUGGAGAAAGAGGAAGAGGAGGAGGAACUUUUCACAGAGUGGCCUGCUGAAGAAAGAGAGCAGGAGAGCACAGAGGAUGAGGAUGAUGAAAAGGAGAUGGAGACCGAGAGGGAAAAAAGCGGGUUGGAUAUCCUCAGGCCAAGUGUUUCACUGGCCAAUCGCAGAGCGUCCCUUCCGUGUCCGACCCAGCUGAGUGCUAUGCAUUUGACUCAUUUGACUCAUCUGACUCACCUGCACAUGACCACCAUGGCUCCAAGCCCAGUCGGCAUGAGGCACAGGCUCAAAGAUGGCGAAGCAAGGAAGCAAGGUCUUCACUCUCAGCACGACCGAAACCAGGAUGAGGACAACGAAUCCAAGCUUGAGAAAUGGCCAUCUGCCAUCCCAAACUUACUUCAUGUCCCAGAAAAGCGGAGACGCUUCAGGAGCCGCAACGUUAUAUCACUAAGUGACGCAGACAGCAUGUGUCUGAUUUGCCAUGAUGAUCUGUGCAGAAGAGGAGGAACCAUCUGGGAACUGCACUGUUCACACAACUUCCACAGUGAGUGUAUACAGGAGUGGUUGUGGAUGAAGCAGACUUGCCCGAUAUGUCAUAAGCGCAUGGCUAUGCCCGAGCCUCUGUACUGGACAUCCGCUCGUGUCAAAGUGCCCUAAUGCUUCACUACCACCUAUCUAAAUCUGUUAGAAUGAAGAAAUUGGACUGUCCAUCCACAGAUCAAUGGAUUUUAAUCUGUUGAAAUAAAUGAUGUGUAAUGGGAUUGCACAAGACUUCAGUAAAUCCUGCAGAUCAACUGUCAACAGCUCCACUACAGACUUCUAAUAAAAGUUGUUAUUUAGUUACUACUGCUAUAAGCCAAACUGACUUGAAUUAAGCUCUAAAACUCUGAGGAGACAUUGGCAGGUCCAGACUCCAGACAUUCCACAAUGUUAUCUAUAUACCCUUCCAAUUAGUUUCAUUGACCCACUUCAGGUUAAUACACUUUAUUUUGAUAUCCUGUCUGUCAUCUGUGGGAAGCCAUUUAAAC